GACGAACCGAGCGAACGUUGUUCGGAAUCUCUGGGCUUAAAGGGUGCGUAGGCGGGCUGCCAAGUUUGAGGUGAAAUCCUCCGGCUCAACCGGGGAAGUGCCUUGAAUACUGGCGGUCUGGAGGGAGGUAGGGGCGUGCGGAACUAACGGUGGAGCGGUGAAAUGCGUUGAUAUCGUUAGGAACUCCGGUGGCGAAGGCGGCACGCUAGACCUCUUCUGACGCUGAGGCACGAAAGCCAGGGGAGCGAACAGG
rnacentral:rRNA from 1 species